rnacentral:siRNA from 1 species
GGCCAUAGGUUCGAAUCCUGUCA